rnacentral:lncRNA from 1 species
AAAGCUAAGUUUGUGUCACAGAGAUGUAAAAUAUUAUUUGAAAUUAGCUUUUGGACUGAAAAGUAUCGCUCCGUACAAAAAACUACAAUCAAGAUUAUAACAACUGAAGAAAGCAGACUUCUUUAUAGUGUUAUCCCACAGAGAAUGGAUGUUUACUACUUAUAGUUCACUCAGAGUUUAUACACCACACUGUUACAAACUUGGUAUAGAGUUUCAACAGGGUAAUUAAAAGUUUCAAAUGGAAACUUGACAUGAGGAUGAGGACAAAAUACAAACAGUCAGAGGCCUUUUCAUAGCCAAAGGAGCCUGAAGGAAUACAAAAUACUUCUCCCAGUUGAUAUUGGUAGGUUUAACAACAUGAUUACUUUUUAUUCAUUAAAUGUGGAAUAAAAAGUACAUUCAUAAAAUAGGAUAUUUUUAUUUUUUGGAAAGGGUAGGGACAAUGACUCAAUUUAGUAUUUGUUCAAAUGUUUACUGGGUUCCAUGUACAUGUAUGUGACCAAAAGCUUUCAAGUUACUGGUCCCAGUGAAAUGCUAGACAUGUAGUCAUGACAGUUAGCCUGUUUAGUUAAAUCAUUUAUUUUAAAUUUAUUAAUAUUAAAUAAACCUAAAUAUUUGAAAUAUCCUAAUAGGAAGAUUAGGAAUGAUUGAGUUCGCUCUGAUUCACGUUUCGCUCUGAUACCUGUUCGCCCAGGGUCCAUUCGCACUGAUUUUUUUUUCCAAUAUGUUUUCUAGUUUCUUUGUUUAUUAUCAUGAUUAUGUAAACAGAAUGUGUUGAAAUUUUGUAGAAAAAUUACCCUAAUAUUUGUAUAGCCGAAACGAAUUUAUUAUUUUUCCUUUGAUUUGUUAUGUCAUUGAUCAAUAAUUGAUCCAAAACAAGCCUUCAACUUUUAAAUAUUUCUAUGUUACAGUUUUCAUAAAUUUAAAGAAUAAAAAUAUCUUUAUACAACUUCAAUGCCCUCAAGUCAAUAUUAUUUUUUGGAGUAGGACAAACGCAUUUUAUGGGCGAAUGAACCCAGGGUGAACAUGUUAUUAGGGCGAACCGACCCGAUAGUAAUGAAAGCGUUUUUUAUUACCAUGAUAACAGGUAGACAUGCUAGAGAUCAAUUGACAGUCACAUACUUUCUAUGUUACUGUCAUAAACACUUUACAUCCUUCAACAAUAAGUUAAUCCAUACUGUAUAGUAAGAUCUAAAUAAUCCAGUAAUAACAAACGUAAAGCAUUCCAAACAGAAAACUAUUAAACAGUCUGAUUUUUUCGAUAAAAAAAAAAAUGCCGGUAUGAUAUUAACAAUAUAUAUGUACAACAUUUAGUUAGUACAUGUACAUAAACAAAGGACAACCACAUGCACUGAAUUCAGUGAUACUGUUGGCUUUUUUCAAAACUAUUUACCCUUUUUUAUUGGGAAAAUAUGCAUCAUUUUUAUCAAAUUUGGAAAUUUAUAAUAAACCAUGAAUUUGAUUGGAACUUAAAUUUGCAGACCCCCUUUAAAGAGGUAAACCCUCAUUUGAAAUAAGACUCAUUAUUCUCAGUGGUGAUACAUAAAUAGACCCUGCACAUAUAGUCAUUUUAGCAAUGAAAAAUGUUUAAAUGAGUGUUUUUUUUUUCAGUUUGUAUUCAUGCACAAUUACUACUGAGACUGCACUGUUUGGGAAAAAAGUUGUCUUUUUGGGAAUAUUUUUAAGCCAUUUUUUUUCCAAAUUGGGAUUCUUCUCCAGGGGUAAAAGCCUUUAUUCUCCAGUUAUUUAAGGCAAACAAUGUAACUGGAAUUAUAUGUAUUACAGACUUUUAAGGCUACUUUUAAAGGAUUUAUAAGUCAAUGUAAGUGUGUAAUUUGUGUGCUUUCUUGUUAUCUUUUAUGGCAUGUUAUAUUUUUUUUGCCAUUUACAUGUAGUUGCAUAUUGGGGAUUUAUGGAUGCAACUCCACAAAGACAAUGAAAGGCCAGGACUUGGAUCAUUGGAUUGCAUGAACCUUUCAGAAAUCUUCAAUACCUUGAUAAUCAUGUCAUGAUGCCUUUGCAUUGUGAAACUAUAUUUUUCUUAAUAUGUCAUAGUGAGCAACUGAAAUUAUACAUACAUUUUUUUACUGUAUUUCUGUUUGUUAUAUAUCACAGUGGACAUCACUGACUCUAUAUUACUCUUUAUAAUUACUGUUGCCAGACUCACUUUUAGGAAUCGUGGAAUUGCAUUUCUAUUUCACUUUUUUUCCUAUUCCUAGUUAGCUAAUAUAUAUAUACAAAAUAUGUUUUGAGAAAAGGUAUGAAGGUUAGAAUUGAGAAUGGAAAUGGGGAAUGUGUCAAAGAGACAUCAACCCGACCAUAGACACAUGAUAGAACAAACAUCACCUGUAGGUCACCUGUAAGUCUUUAAUGCAGUGAGAAAUUCCCGCACCCAGAGGUGUCCUUCAACUGGCCCCUAAACAAAUAUAUAUACGUACAUAUACUAGUUCCGUGAUAAUGAAAGCCAUAUUAAUAAACUCCAUAUUCUAUUCUUAAUUUUUUUUUGUUUAAUUUAAAAAUCUUAUGAAUAUUUAUUAUUAAUCUGUUUAAUUUAAGGUACCUUAUACAAGUCAUCCAGUGUCAUUUAAAGUU